AGUGAACGCUGGCGGCGUGCUUAACACAUGCAAGUCGAACGGAGGAUUUAUUUCGGUAGAUCCUUAGUGGCGAACGGGUGAGUAACGCGUGGGCAAUCUGCCCUUCAGAUGGGGACAACAUCCCGAAAGGGGUGCUAAUACCGAAUACGAUCGCUUUCCCGCAUGGGAUUGCAAUGAAAGAUGGCCUCUAUUUAUAAGCUAUCGCUGAAGGAUGAGCCUGCGUCUGAUUAGCUAGUUGGUGGGGUAACGGCCUACCAAGGCGAUGAUCAGUAGCCGGUCUGAGAGGAUGAACGGCCACAUUGGGACUGAGACACGGCCCAAACUCCUACGGGAGGCAGCAGUGGGGAAUAUUCCGCAAUGGACGAAAGUCUGACGGAGCAACGCCGCGUGAGUGAUGAAGGUUUUCGGACUGUAAAGCUCUGUUGUUUAGGACGAAAGUGCCUGUUGCGAACAGUUACAGGUAUUGACGGUACUGAACGAGGAAGCCACGGCUAACUACGUG
rnacentral:rRNA from 1 species